CCUACGGGUGGCAGCAGUGGGGAAUAGUGCACAAUGGGGGAAACCCUGAUGCAGCGACGCCGCGUGAGUGAAGAAGGAAUGCGUGAUGUAAAGCUCUAUCAGCAGGGAAGAAAAUGACGGUACCUGAGUAAGAAGCCCCGGCUAACUACGUGCCAGCAGCCGCGGUAAUACGUAGGGGGCAAGCGUGAUCCGGAUUUACUGGGUGUAAAGGGAGCGUAGACGGUAUGUCAAGUCAAGGGUGAAAUCCCCGCGCUCCACGUGGGAACUGCCUUUGAAACUGGCAAACUGGAGUGUGUGAGAGGAUAGUGGAAUUCCAGGUGUAGGCUUUAAUUCCGUAGAUAUCUGGAGGAACAUCAGUGGCGACGGCGACUAUCUGGCACAUACCUGACGCU
rnacentral:rRNA from 1 species